rnacentral:tRNA from 1 species
AGGGGGGUAGUCUAAAAUAAGACCUUUGAUUUCGGCUCAAAAAAUCGUGGUUUAAACCCGCGCCCCCCUU